rnacentral:misc_RNA from 1 species
AAGAAAUUUUGAAAAAAGGUUUUGUUUUCUUUGAAAUUAUCUUCUUUUUUUUUCCUUUUCAGGGAGAGGAGGGGAGAAGUUUUGUUUAAACAGCUUUUAUCAAUUAAUAUCCGUUGAACCUUUUUUUAUACUCGUAUUUUUUAUGUCUGAAAGAAAAAACAAAAAAUUUAAAAUUAU